rnacentral:rRNA from 1 species
UACAGAGACUGCAAGCGUUAUUCGGAUUCACUGGGCGUAAAGGGUGCGCAGGCGGCCAUGUGUGUCAGGUGUGAAAGCCCGAGGCUCAACCUCGGAAUUGCGCCUGAAACUACAUGGCUAGAGUACUGGAGAGGGUAGCGGAAUUCAUGGUGUAGCAGUGAAAUGCGCAGAUAUCAGGAGGAACACCGGUGGCGAAGGCGGGUCUCUGGGCCGAUACUGACGCUGAGGAGCGAAAGCGUGGGGAGCGAACAGG